rnacentral:rRNA from 1 species
CGCACAGCGAAAGGUGCUUGCACCUUUCAAGUGAGUGGCGAACGGGUGAGUAACACGUGGACAACCUGCCUCAAGGCUGGGGAUAACAUUUGGAAACAGAUGCUAAUACCGAAUAAAACUCAGUGUCGCAUGACACAAAGUUAAAAGGCGCUUUGGCGUCACCUAGAGAUGGAUCCGCGGUGCAUUAGUUAGUUGGUGGGGUAAAGGCCUACCAAGACAAUGAUGCAUAGCCGAGUUGAGAGACUGAUCGGCCACAUUGGGACUGAGACACGGCCCAAACUCCUACGGGAGGCUGCAGUAGGGAAUCUUCCACAAUGGGCGAAAGCCUGAUGGAGCAACGCCGCGUGUGUGAUGAAGGCUUUCGGGUCGUAAAGCACUGUUGUAUGGGAAGAACAGCUAGAAUAGGGAAUGAUUUUAGUUUGACGGUACCAUACCAGAAAGGGACGGCUAAAUACGUGCCAGCAGCCGCGGUAAUACGUAUGUCCCGAGCGUUAUCCGGAUUUAUUGGGCGUAAAGCGAGCGCAGACGGUUGAUUAAGUCUGAUGUGAAAGCCCGGAGCUCAACUCCGGAAUGGCAUUGGAAACUGGUUAACUUGAGUGCAGUAGAGGUAAGUGGAACUCCAUGUGUAGCGGUGGAAUGCGUAGAUAUAUGGAAGAACACCAGUGGCGAAGGCGGCUUACUGGACUGUAACUGACGUUGAGGCUCGAAAGUGUGGGUAGCAAACAGGAUUAGAUACCCUGGUAGUCCACACCGUAAACGAUGAACACUAGGUGUUAGGAGGUUUCCGCCUCUUAGUGCCGAAGCUAACGCAUUAAGUGUUCCGCCUGGGGAGUACGACCGCAAGGUUUGAAACUCAAGGAAUUGACGGGGACCCGCACAAGCGGUGGAGCAUGUGGGUUUAAUUCGAAGCAACGGCGAAGAAUCUUUACCAGGUCUUGACAUCCUUUUGAAGCUUUU